GGGAUCAUGCACAUACUUUCUAAGCAUCAACACGUGAAAUACAUUAUGUACUGCUGAUAGUCUAAGUGGCAAUACUAGAAGGUACGCUACAUUCCUAUUUCUAUCUAGAAUUUCGAAAGGACAUAUGAAUCGAGCUCUUAACUUUCCCUUCUUGCCAAAUCUAAGAACUCCUUUUAUGGGUGCCACCUUUAGAAACACUUUCUCACCGAC
rnacentral:lncRNA from 1 species